UUCCAAUCACUCAGAGAAAAAUCAGACAUGUAGAAAUAACUGGAAACUCAAGAGAGCCAUGACAUUAUGUUCUUUACUUUAAGUGACCACAACUGUAUGUGUGAUGGUGUAAUUAAACUUGUCUCUCUGUCACGUGUGCACGUCAGGUGAGGCACUUUGAUAAAUUCUCUAGACACACAGUGUUGGGAGAGGUGAGGGUUCCUCUAGGGCAGCUCAACAUCUCCUAUCCUCUUGAGCUACAGGAAGAUCUGAAGACACCCCAGAAGGAUCUCGUAGGAGAGGUGCUCCUCACUUUAAAGUUUCUUCCCACCUCUCAGAGGCUUGAAGUUGGACUACUUAAGGUCAGAACGGUCCUCACAGAAAUAUGCUCAGAUAGAGCCCUAUAUGCCAGGAUCAGUGUGCAGUGCAACCAGCACAAAUUGAGGUACCAAAAAACCUCUGCUGUGGCCCAUUCACUGGUAACUGUCUUCAAUGAGGUCCUCAUGUUCUCCCUGCCAGAGUGUCCCCUGGAGCAGUGUAAAAUAUCAGUUUCUGUGUACGAGACUCACAUAACUAGGAAAUUAUCCAAAAAUCUAAUUGGACAGUUGACUUUGGGUAAGGAAAGAAAUUCACAGGACAAGCAUUGGAGCUUAAUGAUGUGCUCCGUUCGCCAGCCAAUAGCAAAGUGGCAUGGCAUACUGAUUUGACUCAUAUGUAAAUACUCACCGGCAGGGGCUUGAUGUUCACACCUGUUUGCAUAUGACUGAAAGCUGUAUUGCUCGUGUGUCGGCCUGAGGGAUCUGUGCCUGUGUAGCAGUAUGCCAAACAUAAACACCUCUCCUUCCUGACGCCUUAGUGGUAGAAAUAUCUUUCUGUUCCAAUCCGUUCAGCUCAACGGCCAAAAUGAAACUUUAGGUUGGUCAUUCUACAGGAACAUUUUUUUUUCUGUUGUCAACCGCUCUUUUUAACUCCAAUUCUCAUCACAUUGAAAGAGCCGGAUUGGACGUUGGCACUCCUUAUUGCUGAAGAUUACUUUUUUUACUCAAUCUGUGCAUAACUGUGUUGUUUGUGUCACAGUCAGCUUUUAUAUCUACACUUCUUUUUUGCUUGUUCCAAAAUCACGUCAUUCUGCAUUAAUAAAUCUCUAUAUCACAGGU